rnacentral:misc_RNA from 1 species
AUGAAGGCCUCUGGGCUGUAAACCUCUUUUAUCAAGGAAGAAGAUCUGACGGUACUUGAUGAAUAAGCCACGGCUAAUUCCGUGCCAGCAGCCGCGGUAAUACGGGAGUGGCAAGCGUUAUCCGGAAUUAUUGGGCGUAAAGCGUCCGCAGGCGGUCUUGUAAGUCUGUCGUUAAAGCGUGGAGCUUAACUCCAUUUCGGCGGUGGAAACUACAAGACUAGAGUGUGGUAGGGGCAGAGGGAAUUCCCGGUGUAGCGGUGAAAUGCGUAGAUAUCGGGAAGAACACCAGUGGCGAAGGCGCUCUGCUGGGCCAUAACUGACGCUCAUGGACGAAAGCCAGGGGAGCGAAAGGGAUUAGAUACCCCUGUAGUCCUGGCCGUAAACGAUGAACACUAGGUGUCGGGGGAAUCGACCCCCUCGGUGUCGUAGCCAACGCGUUAAGUGUUCCGCCUGGGGAGUACGCACGCAAGUGUGAAACUCAAAGGAAUUGACGGGGGCCCGCACAAGCGGUGGAGUAUGUGGUUUAAUUCGAUGCAACGCGAAGAACCUUACCAGGGUUUGACAUCCUGCGAAUCCCUUGGAAACGAGGGAGUGCCUUCGGGAGCGCAGUGACAGGUGGUGCAUGGCUGUCGUCAGCUCGUGUCGUGAGAUGUUGGGUUAAGUCCCGCAACGAGCGCAACCCACGUUUUUAGUUGCCAGCAUUCAGUUGGGCACUCUAGAAAGACUGCCGGUGAUAAACCGGAGGAAGGUGUGGAUGACGUCAAGUCAUCAUGCCCCUUACAUCCUGGGCUACACACGUACUACAAUGCUACGGACAAAGGGCAGCAAACUCGCGAGAGCUAGCAAAUCCCAUAAACCGUGGCUCAGUUCAGAUCGUAGGCUGCAACUCGCCUACGUGAAGGCGGAAUCGCUAGUAAUCGCAGGUCAGCAUACUGCGGUGAAUACGUUCCCGGGCCUUGUACACACCGCCCGUCACACCAUGGAAGUUGGCCACGCCCGAAGUCGUUACUCCAACCCUUGUGGAGGAGGACGCCGAAGGUGGGGCUGAUGACUGGGGUGAAGUCGUAACAAGGUAGCCGUACCGGAAGGUGCGGCUGGAUCACCUCCUAACAGGGAGACAACAACUGAUUUUGAUGUCUGAGUAAUUUAUUCUCAGGCCGAAAUCCUGUCAUCUCGAAGGUCGAUCGGUACCUCAACUUGAGGGUCUAGAGAAUUUAUUCUGCUAGGUCAACUCAAUUUCAGUUCCUAAACUUUGUCUAGGUCACCCACUAAGGGUAAAUAACUCCUGGGCCAUUAGCUCAGGUGGUUAGAGCGCACCCCUGAUAAGGGUGAGGUCCCUGGUUCAAGUCCAGGAUGGCCCAUUCGUGUUUGGGGGUUUAGCUCAGUUGGUAGAGCGCCUGCUUUGCAAGCAGGAUGUCAGCGGUUCGAGUCCGCUAACCUCCAUCCAACAGGAGGCCCCUUAGUUCGAAUUCUGAAAGGAGUUCCUGGUGAGGUGACAGAGAUUAAAUUCGGAACUGGCAUUGAGAAAUGGCCAGAAAGCAACGCUGAGUCACGUGACUCCAGCCUCGUUUCAUUCCAGAGUUGAUGAUCUAACAAGAGAUCAACCGGUUGAAACGAUGCUGGACUCAAGGCUUUUAACCAAAGCCUUAAGUUUCAGCAGAACCUUGACAACUGCAUAGGUAAGUCUGGAAAUAAAGCAUCUCAUGGAUGCCCAGAUGCAAAAGAGAUCAAGUGAGGGUGAAUAGCCUGAGCUUGAAAUUUUAGUGUUUGGGAAAAUUCUAUUGAGUUUUUAGAGCCGAGAAAUCCAAUGGUUCUUUUCAGCCAUCCAAGUUAACUGCGUGGAAGGCUAGAAGAGUUUGAUCCUGACAUUCAAGUCUGAUUGAGCUGACCUGAAAGGGUGAGCUUGAAAAGAUACUGAAUCCAGAGAGAAUGGGCCUCAACAGCCUGAAGCCAUUGGAGGAUAAUUUGGUCAAG